AUCAGUAUAGUUUAAAAAAAACAUUGUGCUUUCAUCACAAAAAUAAAUUUAUAAAUUUUACAGAUU
rnacentral:tRNA from 1 species